rfam:Ricinus communis cultivar Hale ctg_1100012358387, whole genome shotgun sequence.
UAUCCAUGGUGUGGACAUUGUUGUAAAAGUGAUUUGAAUCGAUCUCAUGCUUCAUGAAAGGAUUCAAUAUCCUUUUGAUAAAAGUUAAAAAUUUCAGCCCUUAAUUU